GACGAACGCUGGCGGCGUGCCUAAUACAUGCAAGUCGAACGAACGGAUUGAGGAGCUUGCUCUUCAUGAAGUUAGUGGCGGACGGGUGAGUAACACGUGGGUAACCUGCCCUUCAGUGGGGGAUAACAUCCGGAAACGGGUGCUAAUACCGCAUAGUUUCUUUUUCCGCCUGAAAGAAGAAGGAAAGAUGGCCUUUGCGCUAUCACUGAGGGAUGGACCCGCGGCGUAUUAGUUAGUUGGUAAGGUAACGGCUUACCAAGGCGACGAUGCAUAGCCGAGUUGAGAGACUGAUCGGCCACAUUGGGACUGAGACACGGCCCAA
rnacentral:rRNA from 1 species